GAAUGGAGGAAGCUAGGUAAUUAGCACAUAAGUUGAAUAGGGUCCCUAGGCCUGUCCUCUUUGAUGCCUGCCUUCUUUGAUUUGGGGGUAUUGUUCCACCGCAUAACA